rnacentral:rRNA from 1 species
UACGGAGGAUGCGAGCGUUAUCCGGAUUUAUUGGGUUUAAAGGGUGCGUAGGCGGCCGAGUAAGUCAGCGGUGAAAUUUUUGCAGCUUAACUGUAACAGUGCCGUUGAUACUGCAUGGCUAGGAUUUGGUUGCUGUGGGUGGAAUGUGUGGUGUAGCGGUGAAAUGCUUAGAUAUCACACAGAAUAUCAAUUGCGAAGGCAGCUCACAAAGCCAAGAUUGACGCUGAGGCACGAAAGUGUGGGGAUCAAA